GACAGGUGAAAAAGGAGAUAAAGGUGACCCAGUUGAAAUAAGGAUCAAAGGAGUAAAAGGACAAAGAGGUGUUCCAGGAAUACAUGGAUUUCCAGGAAUAAAUGGAGCUGUUGGCAAGACUGGAGAUGGAGGACUGCCGGGUGAUAAAGGAAUUCAAGGAGAAGAUGGAAGAGAUACACAAGGUGAUAAAGGAUUUCCUGGAGACCCUGGAAUUCCUGGCUCAAGAGGUCAAAUGGGGACACCAGGUUUUGGGAUUCAGGGCCCACAAGGUAUCCCAGGCCUACCCGGAGAUCCAGGAAGCCCUGGUAUGAAAGGAACUUCUGGGCCAAAAGGUCAAAAAGGUAAUCUAAUUGAUGUUCAAAAUAAAAAAGGUAAAU
rnacentral:lncRNA from 1 species